UAGGGAACCUUCCACAAUGGGCGAAAGCCUGAUGGAGCAACGCCGCGUGUGUGAUGAAGGGUUUCGGCUCGUAAACACUGUUGUAAGAGAAGAAUGACAUUGAGAGUAACUGUUCAAUGUGUGACGGUAUCUUACCAGAAAGGAACGGCUAAAUACGUGCCAG
rnacentral:rRNA from 1 species